GGGUAUGUCUUGGUAGCUGGGACACUCCUGACUCCAGUGCCUCCUCCCUCCCACCUGCACUGUCCACCCCAGGCUGUGCCCUCUGUGGAUGGCGAUACUGACACCUACAGGACAAAGCCAUCUGCUCCUAAGGGAUGAGAUGGCUUUGAGCUCAAGUCUAAACUGCUUCUGGAGCUGAUACUCACAUAUCCACCCGUUCAUCAUCAUCAUCAUCAUCAUCAUCAUCAUCAUCAUCAUCAUCCUUCUCCUCCUCCUCCUUAUCAUCAUCAUCAUCAUCUCAAUCACCACCACCACCAUCACCAUCACCAUCAUUACCAUUAUUAUGAUAAUGUAAUAAUUAUUAUCUUUGAAACCUAGGCUAACCUUAAAUCCACUAUGCAG